UGAAGAACGCAGCGAAAUGCGAUAAGUAAUGUGAAUUGCAGAAUUCAGUGAAUCAUCGAAUCUUUGAACGCACAUUGCGCCCCCUGGUAUUCCGGGGGGCAUGCCUGUUCGAGCGUCAUUUCACCACUCAAGCCUCGCUUGGUAUUGGGCAACGCGGU
rnacentral:rRNA from 1 species